UUAACAGCUUCCUGGUGGCCCAGUCAACUGGCUGGGCUGCAUUCUGGGACCAGCACAAGGUCCAAGGUCUCCCAAGGGGCUGCCCGUUUCUGAUUUUCUAGGACCAGAGCCCCAGGGCAAGAUGGGCCGCCCGGGGCCCCAAGGAGAGAAGAUCUCUGACACCCAGCUUUCUGGGGUCCCCAAUGCCCUCGGUGAUGCCCAUGGUGAUGCCAUCCCUGGCUCGGAGGACUCGGACCUGGUGCCCUCAGUGACCCUGGCUGUGGCCCUCACCAUGCUGUUCUUCCUACUGCUGGCCUGGUUCGUGUGGGGCCAGGAUCGCCAAACCUCCCGCUGACCUGGAGUGGCCCCCUACCAGCUGCCUCAGGAUCUGGUUCUAGGACAGCCCAGAGUGACACUGGGGAGUCAGCCAGCGACAUUUAACAGUGAGGAUAAAGGUCAGAGCUCCCUGCAGGCUGGGGAAGGCAUCCCCAGUGGACACCAUAGAUGUGAAGCUCAGUGGCUUUUUAUAGAUUUUGGGACAGGUGAACAGGCCAGGUGCAGGGCCACUGGAGGUUGCGGUGUCCGGGCCCCAGUUCUUCAUUUGCAUUGGACUUUUUCCAGGGCUUCUCCCAUUUGUUUAGGGAACUGUUCUUUGUCCCCUGUGUCCCAUUAGGCCCUGAUAUUGGUUUUGCUAAGUCAGGGUCAGCAGCACCUCAGUUCUGAGACACUUCUGCUGGCAAACAGUGCGGCUCACGAGCAAAAGCGUCUGGUGAAAUUUUGCUUCUUUUUUUGCAAAUUCCACACCAGGUGACAGCGUGAGCCCGGCCAGCCCCACUUCCCCCAUGCACCCAUCUUCCCCAAAACUGUACAAUGAGUGAAGUAAACCGGGCACCACUGCACUUGGCCUGUCUGUCCACACGCUGAGCCCUGACCUCCAGCUUACUGCAGGUCAGCUGUCCAGGCCUGACCCCUCUAUCUUCCAGCUCCACAGCAGCUCCAAGGUGGGCAUUGUCAAGGGCUGAAGCCCUUAGCCCCUCCCCCGGUUUUGGGUGGACACCUGUCAGCGUUGUCCAGGAGCCUGGCUUCCCAGUGGCCUCACACACCUGUCGACUGAGGCUCCCACGGUCCAGGCCUGGCCACUUGCUCCCCAGGCUGCUCCCGGCCCUGCCUGGGUCCCAUCUUCCAGGUUGAUUCUGGCUGUCGCAGAGGAAGCCAAGCUGGCCACCGGCCAGUGAUUCAGCGGGCGGGGAGCUGCCAGACAAGUGCAACCAGGCACCAUGAAGUGGCCAUGCCGGCUCUGGGAACCUUGGGCACUCCUGCCCCAGUAGGAGGGUCUUUGGGGUUGUCUCAGCACUCACUGCCCCUUGUGCCUGCCUCUUCUGCUCCAGGGCCCCAAAAUCUCUGCAGGGAGGAGACUGAGGGGGACCCGGGGAGGAUGCGCUGGCUUUUGCCACCACCUUGUGGCUUAAAGCAGAAUUGCACCUUCUGCCUGGUGGUCCCCAGGAUGGCGCCUCAGUCAGGCUGGGACAGCUUGGAGGUGAAAGAUUUUUUUGUGUUAAUGUGAAUGUGGCGGGAAAAUGAGACGGAGGCUAAGCACAAGACUUGUUACCAGAGAGAACUGCUCUUGGCAUUUCUGCAUGUCUCCCCCACUUCUGCAUCUGUAAUGUGACCAGCGUCACCAACACAAGCCAUCUUGCUCCAGGGUCACAGGGAACCAUCGCAGCUACCAUCCAGGCCUCUGGUGCUUCUGCCCCUCCACACUCCCUUCCCAAGCAGAGAGCCUGUGGCUGGGACCUGGAGGUUGCAAGAUCGCCUCUCAUGGAAGGAGCUCUGGGGCGUAACUCCAGCGCUCAGGAGGCUGGAGUAAAUUCAAGAGCAGCCUGGGCUAUGAAGUGAGCUGAAGGCUGGCCUGUACUGCACGGAGAGAUCCUGUCUAGAAAGGAAAAAAAAAAAAAAAGCACUCAGGCAAGGUGCCUCAGCCUGAGGUAAUCUGAGCAGCUACCUGAGAACCUGACAGACAGCUGGACGCAGCUGCUAGGAGGACUCUGCCCUUCAGGACCAGAGGGGAGUAGCAGGGAGGGUGAGUCUCCUCCCUGGGCUGGGCUGGGCCUGUCCCUGAAAGGAGGACGGGCUUCCUUCGGCCCAGAAACCGGCUGACAGUGCUUCCGCCAUAAGUCGUGGGCAUCCUGGGCCAGUGUCUUGGUCUUGGUUCCCAUCCUGGAGUUGGCCUUCAUUAAUGCUUCUCACAACCUGGUCAUGCUCUGUAGUUCAGAUACCAGGAACUUAGUAUGCGGCCCAGCAACUCACAGGGAUCCUCCUGCCUCAGCCUCCUGAGUGCUGGGAUUACAGGUGUGCAACCCAGCUUCAGAUUUCUUCUUGUGUGACAGCCAUCAAACUACUGGUGAGGACCCGAACCCAAGAUCAGAACCUGCUUCCACAUUUGGGGUUCAUCAAGAAAGCCUAGAAGGUGGAACUGGGAGCCUUGAGCUUGUAGACUCAUCAGAAUGGGGGUUUCAAGGAGGGUCCGUGCCCCUGGUCAGCUGGGAGCAGAUGGAAACUCCUCCUUCGGGGCCCUCAGAGCUUUCGGGAGCAGGUUGCUAGGGAAGAGUGCGAAGAGCAGGGGAGAUGGACAAGCCCCUCCCUUGCCUCCACUGCACUCCAGACGGUGCCAAGCAGUUGUUCCUGCUUUUGGCACAAUAAAUAAGGAACAAAGGUUAGGGGAUCUCCUAGGUCAGCGCUGGCCCUGGAGCUCCCAGCCUGAACUUAUGACUGCGGCCCUUUUUCCUCUGCCUUCCAGGCUCAGGAAUAUGCACUGUGUCUCAUCAAUACGAUUAAGGCGAGUGGAUUCUGGGCCGGGCACCCGUGCUGAGAGCCUUCAGCGGCUUGCACCCUGCUGGUCUCCUGCCAGUCCCAUCUCUAAGCUCCCUUUCCUUCUGAGCCCAGGUGACCAGCUCCCUCUUUCCAUGGUUGCCACCGCCCCUGUCCUGUGUGCAUGCUCCUCUGUCCCCCUGUCACCUUCUUGGUCUGUGUCAUGCCUUUGCUGGCACAGACUGGCCCUGAGCACAGUUUCCUGUGAUCUUUGUGGCUUGGUUUUUCCCUCGUUGUGCACAAGAGCCAGGACUGUCUUUGGUGGGGUGUUCGGAUCCCGGCGAUUCUGAGAGAAUUUUUGGCACAGCUAAAAAGAUAAGAAGUAUGAAAUAAGAGUGGCCUUUACUUUAAGAAUGUGGAGAGAGACUCCAUGACCUCCGGGGUCUGGCAUUCUCUCUGCCUGACACGUGGUGCGGGGCCAUACAUAUAGCUUAGGUUUGGGGUGGAGCCUAAGGGGCAUUACUGAUGCACAGGUAGCCCAUUGGAAUUCAUUUUGUGCCACAGGUAAAUUGCUUAGGGGUGGGGAAGAUGACCUCAAGAUAGAGCCUCUUGGUUCAGCCUCCCACCGCUGCAGCUUCCAUCCAGGGCACAAAAUCCUUUAAUUCCUGUCUUUUUAUUAUUUGGAAAAAGGGUGAAGUUUUUCUUUCUUUUAUUGCUUCCUGCUGAAAGGGGGCACUGUACUGGGGUUUAGGAGUGUUGACAGGAUGACUGUUGAUGUCCAUGUAGAAGCUGGUGCCAGGUGUUUUAAUCAGGACAACUUUAUCACUGGUGAAUGCCCAUAUGUUAGACUGGAAAAAGAAAGAGACAAGGUCUGAUGAGGAGGCAGGCCACUAUCAUAUUUAAGGACCCAGGUGAGGUAGGAGGAAAGGUGCCUUUGAUUUAGAUAUGUCAUUUUAUCAGGACCAGGUUGAGGUAGAAUCAUUGCCACAGUAAGGUAGAAUUCUGAAAAAUAAGUGUAGGGUUAUGAGAGGUUAUUAUUAGGUAGAAUUCUGAAAGGUAAGUGUGGGGUUAUGAGAGGUGAUUAUUCCCCAUCUGAGAGAGUAAAAGUUAAGAGGGUAGAUAAGGCUUGUGUCUGGUAUGCAUGAUGUGGGAGUCUUUAGAAAAGACUGUUGAGAGUCCUGCUAUAAAAAGGAUAAUUAGUAGAAUGUAAGAAAUUAGGAACCAAAUUGGAUAACAAAACAUGACAGCCUGAGAGUUGUGGCUGUGAGGCCUUGGUGAGGUGGAGAUGAGUGGGCAAAAUGAUAGUUAGAUCUAGGGUUGGGAGGGCACCACUUAGCCUGAGUGAUGUGAAACCAGGAUGGCAGUCUAACAACUUUGACCACUGUUGAGGUUGCCAAGAAGACCAGGUAUGGGCCGCUCCACCUUGGUUGUAGUCCUUGGGAUGAUUUGCUGUAACAGGAUUUUAGUAAGUAUAUCAGCAGUCUCCCUGGUUGUGGGAAAGGCUUUUAUUUAUCCUGAAAAAGUACAAACAAAGGUGAGAAGGUAAAAUUUAUCUGUCAGUCUUGACCAGGGUUGUGUCUGAGAAACUGGUAAAUACGAAAGAAGGGGGUGCUGUAUAUCCCUGAGGAGAGAGUUUACUAGAGAUAACAGGUGUAAGCUGUUGAGACCUCAGAGUGUCUAGGUCAGUCGGCAUAAACACAAAGGAAUAAAAAGGCAUUUUUUAAGAUGUAGGACUGUAGGGCUGGGGAUUUAGCUCAGCGGCAUAAGUGCCUGCCUUGGAAGCAGGCAGUCAUGAGUUUGAUCCCCAGUACCGAUAAAAAGGAAAAAAGAUAAAAAAAAAAAAAAAGAUUUAGGACUGUAAAGUGAGUGGUGGAGGGAGGGUUUGGCACCACUGGGUGGAUUGGGGUAACAGCACUAUUGAGUAUCUUAAGGUCUUGUAAUAGAGGGUAAGACCCAUCAGGCUUGAGUACCAGGAGAUUAGAAGUAUUAUAGGGUGAAGGGGUAGGUUUAAGAAAACCAUUGUCUAAAAGGCACUUAAUUAUAGGUUUAAGUACCUGUAAAUGUUUGGAAGCUAUGGGAUAUUGGGGAACACAAGGAAGAAUUGAAGGAUCCCUGAGAUGAAUUAAUAAUAGGCAUGGCAUGGGCAGUGCAGGUGGGAUUGGAGGUAUCUCAAACUAUGGGAUCGACCAGAGAAGAAGCAGUCUGGAACCUGAUGAAAUAGGCCCUGUCUGUAAAGGCUGCAUAGGUUGGCUAUCAAUACCCCCUAUAGAGACUGAGGACUUAAUAUAAUGGCCUGAAAGCUCAGGAAGAACCCUAUACAUGGCCUCUAUGUCCACAAGUAUAGAGAAUGUCUUACCUGAGACUUCUAGUGGGACUUGGGACUCUGAGAAGGAUACCUUAAUGAGGGCUGUGGACCCUGAACCCCAUUAGUCUUCAGCAGCAAAUCCAAGCAGAUCUGUCAGUGAUGAAUCUAGCAGUGUUGGCAUUUCCUGUGAGGGCUAGAAUUUAGGAUGGCUUACCCACUCUCUGGUGGCUAGGACUGUCCAGUAGUCCUGGGGUAAGGUCCCAAAGGAACGCCAGGAUGGAGCACUCUCUUGCCCAAUGUCCUUUUGCUACAUUUGAGGCAUGAUCCAGGAAGGGCUCAGGAAGCUCCACCUUGUGUUGGUUUACCUAUCUCAAAGCCCCAAGUGUCACUGCUAAAAGAUCAGAUUGUUAUUUUUUUAUCUCUGUUGUUGAAAACAUGAAAAGCCAUAUUAAGAAGGUCUCCCUGUGGGGUUUGAGGGCCAAGUUUAGCCUUUUGUCUUGGGAUCUGGUCCACAGUAGAAGGUAUCUGUAGAAUUAAUUAAGUAUGCAGGAGCCAAAUACAAUCAACAGGGUGUUUAUGAUUAUAACUUUAGUAAUGGCUUCCCAUAAGGAGGAUAAGGUCCAGAGAAUUUUAGGAACUGACAUGUCAUUUAUUUGUCAUAUAUAAGUAUCUCUUUAUGCUAUUAAAAUAUCUAAUGCCAUCUGAUUUUUUGAGGAUGGCCUGUUUUAUUAAUUUUACCUUUUUAUUUAGGAGAGAGAUCAGCUACGGUGUCAUUUAACACCAGUUGAAUACAAUUAAUUAUGGCUCGGUGGAGUGCGGAGCCAGGGCAGGCAGACAGGCUGGGAAAGGCUCAAGCCUGGCCUCUGCCCCAGUGUUGGUCUGUGUGUUUUGCAUGCAUCAUAUAACCUUUUUUUCUGGAAAAGAUGUAGUGGUUCCCAGCAAAAGGAAUCCAAAAGGAAUUUAUAAUUACCUCUUAAUUUCAGGUGUUAAACAUCUAGAAGAUUGAUAACAGUACAGUGCAAUAUAGGCAGUAAGCUUAACAAAGAACAUUAAAUGGCUACCAACCAUGAGUGUUUUAACAUUUGAACGCUGAAGAAAUUUGUGAAAUAUCUCUAAGCGUAUGGCUGGAUCUGAAAGAAAACAUUUGUCAUCAUACAUUACAUAAACUUUUGUUUAAAAUUAUUUGACUGGUUUACUCAUGUUGGUCUGAUUUGUAUCUCUUGGCUAGAACACAAGAAAAAGACAGCAGAAACAAUCCCCAUUUUACACUUGAAAGUAUGAAUAUACCUUCAGAUCACCAGCAAUGAAUUGUCUUAGUCAUAUGAACUUUAGUUGAGGUGUCUCACAUAAGGCUAUGGGAGAUUAUUGAAGGCUUUAAUUGAUAAACAAGGCUGGUAAAAUUACCAGGUGGCCACUUCCCUGUUUAUCACUUAAAGUUUGUCUAUUGUCUUUUCACCCCAGUUUAUUUAACCAGUUUUAGCAACAUUUUGACCAGCUGGCAAACUAGGUGGAAGCAUGUUUUUUUGUUGUUGUUUUUUGUCUUUUUGAGACAGGGUCUCGCUAUGCAGUUCAGGCUGGCCUUGAGCUCACUUUGUAGCCCAGGCUGGUCUUGAACUCAAAACGAUCCUCCUGCCUCAGCCUCCGGAGUGCUGGGAUUACAGGCGUGAGCCAGCACGCCCGGCUGAAGCAUGUUUUUUAAUAUAACCCAAAUAAAACUUGAUUAAAUGGUUUGAGAAUGUAAAAGGGAAAAAAAUGUUGAGCUCAAACAAGAAGGAACAGCUGUUCACAGAGCAGACAAAUGGACAAACAUGGACAAUCUGUAAACAGACUGAACAAACAACAGAUAUAUCUUAUAAAAUCAGAGUGCACUCUAAUAUAUUUGGCCAAUUUGAACUGUAUUAAAUAAGACUUGUGAAUCCUUUUGUAAAUUAGAGAUCUCUUGAAAUAAGAA